CCCUAUGGGGUGCAGCAGGCGAUAGGGAGCGGAGAGUUUCUGCGAAUAAGGCGCCACGCGCUCUGCAUUGAGGAACGUAUCCGGGUCGAUGUCCUGGCUGCCUACCAGCAUUUCGAUUUUUCCCAGAAAUUCAUCCAAAUCCUUUUGCGCGGUUUCCAGAGGAAUCUUGUAACGCUCGGCCACGACCGCGGCAGUGGCGGGUUUAUCCUUGCCCUGAAUCAGAUGAUAGGCAUACUCCGCGGCAGACUGGUUGAGGUGCAGAACGGUGUGAGCGUUGAUGAUCAAGAUGCCGCUGCCAUCCUCGUCCACCCGCAAAUGCAGCUUGUAGGGCAGGUCGGAUUCGGGGAGAGC
rnacentral:rRNA from 1 species